rnacentral:lncRNA from 1 species
GAAAUGUUCAACGCAGAAUCCCCUUAUCAAAUGGUAAAAUCAAAAGUUUGUAAAAGAAUGGUUAACAAUUGUCAUAUUCUAGACUUAGUACAGACAUUUUCUUAUAUAGAACCUUGUUUUAUAACUAUGAUUUAGAGUUGAAAUCGAUUCACAAAACAACAUAAUUACAUAUACGCAGUUCUUAAAUAAUAUUAAGUUCUUAUCUAAUACACCGGGCAUAGAAAAACAAACACGCUUAUGCUAGGUUAAAUUUUAAACUAUUUUAAUUAUCAAAGUUCAACGUGCUAAAGUGCUGAUAUAUACCGCCGUCAACAUAAUUUAAAGUAUGAACAUUUUGAAAAAUCUAUUUGUUUUUGAAAGACCCUCAGUUUAUAGCAAUUAAUCAAGCAAACUACAUAAUUAUAUUAGCUUCUAUUGAGUGUGGUGUAUGCAACUGCUAGGGCAAACAAAGUUAGAAUGUUCGAUCUUAUUCAAUGUUAAAAAAAUGACAAAUCAUUACAGAAAAGUGGCAAAAGUUUCACUAAGUUUUAAUCUAAAUAAAGAAAGAAACUUAUAAAAUUAACAGAAAAAAACGCAGGAAUCUUCGGAAUGUCAAACUGUUGAAUGUGACACAAUUGUUAUAAUAACAGACUUGACGACUAUUCUUCAUUAGGGUAUCUAAAGAUUUGAGAAAAAACUUUUUUUAGUGAUUUGAGAUAUUGUACUUGUCACCCAAUCAUCGGUCGAAAACAAACCAACAACGCCAUAGCCAAAUACAACCAAAAAAACCAUUAUCAAUGUACAAAACAGAACAUAGAAAACUUAAGACUCGGUACGACCGCAGGUGAUCUGGAAGGAUAAGCAGAUCC